rnacentral:tRNA from 1 species
AGGGAUUUAGCUCAGCGGCUUAAGCACCUGCCUUGCAAGCAGGCGGUCAUGAGUUCAAUCCCUG